GAGACACCCUUCUGGGGAAAGCCUUGCUUCAGUGGGGCUUUGGUGCUCACUGAGUCUGCCCUCUGAGUGUGUCCCU
rnacentral:pre_miRNA from 1 species